CAGUCGCCGCGGGAAUACGAAGGGGGCUAGCGUUGUUCGGAAUUACUGGGCGUAAAGCGCACGUAGGCGGAUAUUUAAGUCAGGGGUGAAAUCCCGAGGCUCAACCUCGGAACUGCCUUUGAUACUGGAGAUCUUGAGUUCGGAAGAGGUUGGCGGAACAGCUAGUGUAGAGGUGAAAUUCGUAGAUAUUAGCUAGAACACCAGUGGCGAAGGCGGCCAACUGGUCCGAUACUGACGCUGAGGUGCGAAAGCGUGGGGAGCAAACAGGAUUAGAUACCCGUGUAGUCCCUGUCUCUUAUAA
rnacentral:rRNA from 1 species